rnacentral:lncRNA from 1 species
UAUUAUAAAUGGCCAAUAAGAGAUGGAUCAAUUCUCAGGAAACAAUUUAACUAUUCUGACUAUUUCUAUCCAGGAUGGAUCGGAUUUUGAUUGGCAGCAAGAUAUGGGUCGGAAACUAGAAACAAUUUUGCGAGAACUAUACUGACUAUUUCUACCUAGGAUAGAUCGGAUUUUGAUUGUUUUUUUUCUAUUGUAAGUUAAAAG